rnacentral:rRNA from 1 species
GAUGAACGCUGGCGGCGUGCCUAAUACAUGCAAGUCGAGCGAACGGACGAGAAGCUUGCUUCUCUGAUGUUAGCGGCGGACGGGUGAGUAACACGUGGAUAACCUACCUAUAAGUCUGGGAUAACUUCGGGAAACCGGAGCUAAUACCGGAUAAUAUUUUGAACCGCAUGGUUCAAAAGUGAAAGACGGUCUUGCUGUCACUUAUAGAUGGAUCCGCGCUGCAUUAGCUAGUUGGUAAGGUAACGGCUUACCAAGGCAACGAUGCAUAGCCGACCUGAGAGGGUGAUCGGCCACACUGGAACUGAGACACGGUCCAGACUCCUACGGGAGGCAGCAGUAGGGAAUCUGCCGCAAUGGGCGAAAGCCUGACGGAGCAACGCCGCGUGAGUGAUGAAGGUCUUCGGAUCGUAAAACUCUGUUAUUAGGGAAGAACAUAUGUGUAAGUAACUGUGCACAUCUUGACGGUACCUAAGCAGAAAACCACGGCUAACUACGU